AACGUAGGGGGCGAGCGUUAUCCGGAAUCACUGGGCGUAAAGGGCGUCUAGGCGGCACAUUAAGUCUUGCGUGAAAUCUCCUGGCUCAACUAGGAGAGUGCGUGAGAAACUGGUGAGCUAGAGACGUGGAGGGGUGCACGGAAUUCCUGGUGGAGUGGUGGAAUGCGUUGAGAUCGGGAGGAACACCAGAAGCGAAGGCGGUGCACUGGCCACGGACUGACGCUGAAGCGCGACAGCGUGGGGAGCGAACGGG
rnacentral:rRNA from 1 species